rnacentral:rRNA from 1 species
GGUUCGAUUAUAGCUCAGAUUGAACGCUGUGGGAUGCUUUACACAUGCAAGUCAGACAGCGGCACGGACGUCGGUCUGGUGGCAGUGGCGAACGGGUGAGUAAUGUAUCGGAACGUGCCUAGUAGCAAGGGGAUAACUGCGCGGCGUAAGCGCAAACGCCGCAUACGCCCUUCGAAGGGAAAGCGGGGGGGACGGGCCUCGCACUAUUAGAAACGGCCGAUAUCGGAUUAGCUAGUUGGUGGGGUAACAGCUCACCAAGGCGACGAUCCGUAGCUGGUUUGAAAGGACGACCAGCCACACUGGGACUGGGGCACAGCCCAGACUCCUACAGGAGGCAGCAGUGGGGGAAUUUUGGACAAUGGGGGAAACCUGAUCCAGCCAUCCCGCGUGUGCGAUGAAGGCCUUCGGGUUGUAAAAGCACUUUUGGCAGGAAAAGAAACGGCACGGAUAUGCCGUUACAACUGAUGACCACCUGCAGAAUAAACACCACGGCCUAACUACGUACUGUAAUAUGAUGUCAAUACGUAAGUGCAAGCGUUAAUCGGAAUUACUGGGCGUAAAGCGUGCGCAGGCGGUUCGGAAAAGAAAGAUGCUGAAAUCCCAGAGGCUUAACUUUGGAACUGCAUUUUUAACUACCGAGCUGAAGUGUGUCAGGGAGAAUUGAAUUCCCGCGUGUAGCAGUGAUACGUAGAUAUGCGGAGGAACACCGAUGGCGAAGGCAACCUCCUGGGAUAACACUGACGCUCAUGCACGAAAGCGUGGGGGCAAACAGGAUUAGAUGCCUGGUAGUCACGCCCUAAACGAUGUCAACUAGCUGUUGGGGCCUUCGGGCCUUGGUAGCGCAGCUAACGCGUGAAGUUGACCGCCUGGGGAAGUACGGUCGCAAGAUUAAACUCAAGAAAAGGAAUUGACGGGAAGGGACCCGCACAAGCGGUGGAUGAUCAUGGAUUAAUUCGAUGCAACACCGAAAAACCUUAUACCUUGACAUGUCUGGAAUCCCGAAGAGAUUUGGGAGUGCUCAUAAAGAGAACCGGAACACGUUUUGCAUGGCUGUCGUCGAAGCUCCGUGUCGUAGAGAUGUUGGGUUAAGUCCCGCAGCAGGCGCAACCCUUGUCGUGGAUUGCUGCGAAGGGCCUCUAAUGAGACUGCCGGUGACAAACCGGAGGAAGGUGGGGAUAGCGUCAAGUCCUCAUGGCCCAUAUGGGUAGGGCUUCACACGUCGCCUGCAAUGGUCGGGACAGAGGGUCGCCAACCCGCGAGGAGCCAAUCCCAGAAACCCGAUCGUAGUCCGGAUCGCAGUCUGCAGCUCGACUGCGUGGGAGUCGGAAUCGCUGGUAAUCGCGGAUCCCAGCAUGUCGCGGUGAAUGCGUUCCCAGGGUCUUGUACACACCGCCCACGUCACACCAUGGAAUUAGGUUUUACCAGAAGUAGUUACAGCCUAACCGUAAGGAGGGCGAUUACUACGGUAGGAUUCAUGACUGGGGUGGAAGUCGUGACAAGGUAG